rnacentral:sRNA from 1 species
UCGCUACCUCCACGGCCACUGACUGGCCUA